UACGAAGGGGGCUAGCGUUGUUCGGAAUUACUGGGCGUAAAGCGCACGUAGGCGGAUCGAUCAGUCAGGGGUGAAAUCCCAGAGCUCAACUCUGGAACUGCCUUUGAUACUGUCGGUCUAGAGUAUGGAAGAGGUGAGUGGAAUUCCGAGUGUAGAGGUGAAAUUCGUAGAUAUUCGGAGGAACACCAGUGGCGAAGGCGGCUCACUGGUCCAUUACUGACGCUGAGGUGCGAAAGCGUGGGGAGCAAACAGG
rnacentral:rRNA from 2 species